UACGAAGGGUGCAAGCGUUACUCGGAAUUACUGGGCGUAAAGGGUGCGUAGGCGGCGUUUUAAGUCGGGGGUGAAAGCCUGUGGCUCAACCACAGAAUGGCCUUCGAUACUGGGACGCUUGAGUAUGGUAGAGGUUGGUGGAACUGCGAGUGUAGAGGUGAAAUUCGUAGAUAUUCGCAAGAACACCAGUGGCGAAGGCGGCUCACUGGCCCGGUACUGACGCUGAGGUGCGAAAGCGUGGGGAGCAAACAGG
rnacentral:rRNA from 1 species